rnacentral:rRNA from 1 species
UACAGAGGGGGCAAGCGUUAUUCGGAAUUAUUGGGCGUAAAGGGCGCGUAGGCGGCUUGGCAAGUGGAUGGUGAAAUCCCUCGGCUUAACCGAGGAACUGCCGUCCAAACUGCUUCGCUUGAGACCGGGAGAGGUGAGUGGAAUUCCCAGUGUAGCGGUGAAAUGCGUAGAUAUUGGGAGGAACACCAGUGGCGAAGGCGGCUCGCUGGACCGGUACUGACGCUGAUGCGCGAAAGCGUGGGGAGCAAACGGG